UGAAGGUUGUGCUUUUGUGGAGCUGGAGUUCAUCGGAAGUUCUACAGUGCUUGCGCCAGAAAAACGUCGGUGCCUCGGUACCUUUGAGACGAAGGAGCGUUGGCCAAGUCUUUUUGAAAGGCUAUGCGGAUUCUGGAGGCAUCCCUACAUCAAGCAGGAACCUGCUGCACUGCUGGAAGCUGGACAGCACGACAAUAAAGCACGUGAUCUGUGUGCUUUCUCAAAGGUAGACAUCGGCGACGGUGUAUAUGUUGAAAAGUGCCUGCUGAAGAGGCUGCGCCUGGAUGCUAACAACUCAGGCUUUCAGUUCGCGGGGGGCCUCCUUAAGGCUCCUUUUACAAAAGAAGAGGUUGAAGGGAGGCGCUACACAUGGAUGCGCAGCGAUUGUUUGUGACAUCGUCACUGCUGGCAGGCCUGGCCUGCCUUUUCGCUUCGUUCUGGGUCUUCCACGUUAUCUACUCGAAAAGGCCCACAGGGUUUUGACAUUUAUUGAGCACUGCU
rnacentral:lncRNA from 1 species